rnacentral:sRNA from 1 species
ACGGUUUGACAUACAGACCACAAAGCAGUUGAGUAAAGCAGUUCCCUUCAAGGUUAUCCAUUGGUACCCCUCGUAGCGACAUUUCCUUUACGCUUUAAAUUCUGUAAAGCAUGCCAUAUCGCCGUAAGGCUCAAUUAAUUUUUAAAGGUAAUUUCUAUGUCCGGUAAAAUGACUGGUAUCGUAAAAUGGUUCAACGCUGACAAAGGCUUCGGCUUCAUCACUCCUGACGAUGGUUCUAAAGACGUGUUCGUACACUUCUCUGCUAUCCAGAACGAUGGCUACAAAUCCCUGGACGAAGGUCAGAAAGUUUCCUUCACCAUCGAAAACGGCGCUAAAGGCCCGGCAGCUGGCAACGUAACUUCUCUGUAAGUUCACGCCGCUAAAAAUUCGAAAUCCCUGCCUUACGGCGGGGAUUUUUU